AUGGGUCCGAGUUGCUGGAUUUUUUUUUAAUUAUGAAGAAAUAACAACACUUGCGUGGCCAUUGACUUCUCUGGUAAAGGUUUAUAAGCGAAAUAGUGGCCUCACCUUUGCUUGCUCGCAAGCCAAUCACGGCGCAUGUACCAUAGAGAACAAUUUGUAUCUAUGAACAAUCUAAUCUUUGAUUCACUUCAAAUGCAGGUUUUUCGAAUGUGGGCGAAAACGGGAGUACCCGGAAAAAAACAAAAACAUUUACAGAAAGAAUUACAGAAAGACCCGACCCAAGGCUUCUUUAGACUCGUGUGGAGGGCGGCCACGCUGACGUCACUGCGGCUAUCCGGCACGUAGUUUGCCUUUAUACUCGAGCGCAAUUUUGAAAAUGUACUGCAGUUCCCCUCCAAGUCUGGGGUGUCGCUACGGCUGCUAAUGGCGAGGACACCACAGGGUGGAGUUUCCUCUGCAUUUUUUUGGCCAUUUUCGGUAGCCGUUUUUAGAGCGUUUGCUUCCCUGCACUUGGGUUCUCCAAACCAAUACCACGAAAACCCAAUCUUGACAUUAAGACAACAACGAUUCACACUCACAAUUUUAAGUUUUUAAUUGGAAUGUGGGAGGAAGCUGGAGUACACAGAGAAAACACACACACACGCAUGAAAGAACAUGCAAACUCCACACCGGAAAGGAUCCGAGAUUGGAACCCUGGAUUCUUUUUAUUGUCUGGCCCAAAGUAUAUUUCUAAUGAAAUAAAAUGUUCUGUUUGGGAAUGCAUUCUUUAAAUCGUUGCAAGGUCAUUUAAAGCCAUAUAUUGGGGUUAUAGCCAUUGUGAAAAGUGAACAAACGCGGAGCAAAAUGGCGCAGUCAAAGCCUCAGUUCAGCGUUGUUGCCAUGCUGCUGAUCUGACAGGCCUGCUGGCACGUCAUUUUUCACCAAUCUGUGGUCCUCAUUGGGACAUUGUAUCCCACAGGCCCCUUUUAAUGAGAUCAAAUGCCAUCCUCUCAUUAGCAGAUGAGAGGAUCCCUGUGCCUUGUUAACUUCAGAAUGAUAGGAGAAUAUGUGCAUAGACAUUACAAUUUCCCAAAUCGCUAUCAAUCGGGAGGACCUAUACUCUCUUUUUCUUCCUCCAACAGAAAGGAAUCGUACCUGUGAUGAGUCUGAGGUUCUCAUUCGUGUCGUGUCGCCCUGCACUUCUGUGUCAGCGCUUUCUCCCGGCGUCAGCUUUUUCACUCCGACGAAGGUACGGCUGAGGAGAUGGAGCGAAAAAUCCUGUCGGCCCAUUCAGCCUCGUAAUGGGCUGACGAUUACCCUGCAGUCACAGGGGGAGAUGAGCGGUGUGGACGCUCGCCAUUUGCAGAGCACAGCUGUUUGUCAAGGAUAUGAUUAUACAGAAUGACAUGGAUACAUGUGAGAUUUUAAUCUCUAAUCUGUCAGCGCAGCAGCCAAAAUGCUUUUGUUCACUUGCAUUCAUUCGGGGGUAAAAAGAAUGUCAGGGGACCGAAGCGGUGGAAGUGAGAGGAGGCGAGCAGACAAUCGUGGCCUCCUUCCACAUGCGGCCAUUGUCUGACAGUAGAACCUCCAAAGUCAAACGUUACGCUGGUCGACCUCCAGUUGCUUUUUUUUUCUUUUCUUUUCUUUUUGUUAAACAUUUCUUAACUGCGCAGGCAAUGUUUGAAAUCAGCCGUGACCACUGACCAACAUUUAUAACCUCAAUUCAACUUUGUUUCAUAAAAUUGUGUUAAUUUCU